GAAGGGUGUNAGGUAGUAAACCUAUUUUAUAAAGGAAGAGAUUGGACGGUACUUUACGAAUAAGCCCCGGCUAACUUCGUGCCAGCAGCCGCGGUAAUACGUAGGUGGCAAGCGUUGUCCGGAAUCAUUGGGCGUAAAGGGCCUGUAGGCGGCAUGGCAAGUCGGUAGUGAAAUCCCCCGGCUUAACCGGGAGCGGUCUAUGGAUACUGCCAAGAUAGAGAUCAUCAGAGGAGAGCGGAAUUCCCGGUGUAGCGGUGACAUGCGUAGAUAUCGGGAGGAACACCAGUGGCGAAAGCGGCUUUCUGGGGUGGCUCUGACGCUGAGGGGCGAAAGCGUGGGGAGCAAACCGGAUUAGAUACCCGGGUAGUCCACGCCCUAAACGAUGAAUNCUAAGUCUCCGGGGUAUCCACCCCCUGUG
rnacentral:rRNA from 1 species